rfam:Triticum aestivum genome assembly, contig: Triticum_aestivum_CS42_TGACv1_scaffold_501203_6BL
CAAGUACUCCCUCCGUCCGGAAUUACAUGUCAUCAAAAUGGAUGUGUCUAGAACUAAAAUACAUCAAGAUACAUCCAUUUCAAUGACAAGUAUUUCUGGACGGAGGGAGUACAAG